rnacentral:rRNA from 1 species
AAAUUGAAGAGUUUGAUCAUGGCUCAGAUUGAACGCUGGCGGCAGGCCUAACACAUGCAAGUCGAGCGGUAGCACAGAGAGCUUGCUCUCGGGUGACGAGCGGCGGACGGGUGAGUAAUGUCUGGGAAACUGCCUGAUGGAGGGGGAUAACUACUGGAAACGGUAGCUAAUACCGCAUAACGUCGCAAGACCAAAGUGGGGGACCUUCGGGCCUCAUGCCAUCAGAUGUGCCCAGAUGGGAUUAGCUAGUAGGUGGGGUAACGGCUCACCUAGGCGACGAUCCCUAGCUGGUCUGAGAGGAUGAUCAGCCACACUGGAACUGAGACACGGUCCAGACUCCUACGGGAGGCAGCAGUGGGGAAUAUUGCACAAUGGGCGCAAGCCUGAUGCAGCCAUGCCGCGUGUAUGAAGAAGGCCUUCGGGUUGUAAAGUACUUUCAGCGGGGAGGAAGG